UACGUAGGUGGCAAGCGUUGUUCGGAAUUAUUGGGCGUAAAGGGCGCGUAGGCGGCUUGUUAAGUCGGCUGUGAAAGCCCGGGGCUCAACCCCGGAGGGUCAGCCGAUACUGGCAGGCUAGAGUACGGAAGAGGUAGCUGGAAUUCCCGGUGUAGCGGUGAAAUGCGCAGAUAUCGGAAGGAACAUCAGUGGCGAAAGCGACUUCCUGGACCAGUACCGACGUUCAGGCACGAAAGCGUGGGGAGCAAACAGG
rnacentral:rRNA from 1 species